UACGUAGGGGGCGAGCGUUGUCCGGAAUCAUUGGGCGUAAAGCGCGUGUAGGCGGCCCGGUAAGUCCGCUGUGAAAAGUCCAGGGCUCAACCCUGGGAUGCCGGUGGGAUACUGUCGGGCUCGAGUCCGGAAGAGGCGAGUGGAAUUCCUGGUGUAGCGGUGAAAUGCGCAGAUAUCAGGAGGAACACCAAUGGCGAAGGCAGCUCGCUGGGGACGUGAACUGACGCUGAGACGCGAAAGCGUGGGGGAGCAAACAGG
rnacentral:rRNA from 1 species